rnacentral:rRNA from 1 species
AAAUUGAAGAGUUUGAUCAUGGCUCAGAUUGAACGCUGGCGGCAGGCCUAACACAUGCAAGUCGAACGGUAACAGGAAGCAGCUUGCUGCUUCGCUGACGAGUGGCGGACGGGUGAGUAAUGUCUGGGAAACUGCCUGAUGGAGGGGGAUAACUACUGGAAACGGUAGCUAAUACCGCAUAACGUCGCAAGACCAAAGAGGGGGACCUUCGGGCCUCUUGCCAUCGGAUGUGCCCAGAUGGGAUUAGCUAGUAGGUGGGGUAACGGCUCACCUAGGCGACGAUCCCUAGCUGGUCUGAGAGGAUGACCAGCCACACUGGAACUGAGACACGGUCCAGACUCCUACGGGAGGCAGCAGUGGGGAAUAUUGCACAAUGGGCGCAAGCCUGAUGCAGCCAUGCCGCGUGUAUGAAGAAGGCCUUCGGGUUGUAAAGUACUUUCAGCGGGGA